UACGUAGGGGGCUAGCGUUGUCCGGAAUCAUUGGGCGUAAAGAGCGUGUAGGCGGUCCGGUAAGUCCGCUGUGAAAGUCGGGGGCUCAACCCUCGAAUGCCGGUGGAUACUGUCGGGCUAGAGUGCGGAAGAGGCGAGUGGAAUUCCUGGUGUAGCGGUGAAAUGCGCAGAUAUCAGGAGGAACACCUAUUGCGAAGGCGGCUCGCUGGGACGUUACUGACGCUGAGACGCGAAAGCGUGGGGAGCAAACAGG
rnacentral:rRNA from 1 species